CUUUCUCUUUAUUUAUUUACUCCCUUACCACAUCAUCUUUUAUCUAAUUGACGGUUCGUUUAAUUCUAUGAACAUCAUCCUGAUCAUUGGGUUGGGACCGUCGUGGCAGGUACUGAAAGCCCUUCUUCCGCCGCUUUUCCAUGGUUCCAAUACAAUCUCUCAUUCUCCCCACCUCGGGGCGUCGUUGACCCACAACGGCCACCUCCCUCCGUACACUGUGUACACAUGUCAGCGCUGGAAAAGAGUGGAGUGGAAGCCCUCGUCGCACCAGCACCGACAGUUCCGCUCGCAAGCACGGCGAAGCGGUGGCCUCAGGUGGUGGCCGUCGAGCCGGUGAGCUACUCCUGGAGUCCUGGUGCGCGAAGCAACGGCUUCAGGACCAGCAUAGGACAGGGCGCGCAGGCCUCGCCGGGUCUGUGUAGCGCCCACCAACUGUUCGCUAUUUUGCUUCACAGAGGUUAAGAAGAUAGCUGUCUUACCAAAACAAGAUCCGCAUCUCGCAGAAACUCUAGCUGUAAACAUACUAGAGGAAAUCAAGAUUCAGCAACACUCAUGUCAUUUCAAGGGGCACAGAGCUCAGAUUUAGGUACUCGUUGUCUCCAGUGUCGUUGCUAUACCUGAUCAAGAACUCUGGAGUGAGUGACCGACCUCCCGGUGGCCGUGCAAGAGGCCACAUGAUAUUUUGCCCCUUUCUUGAAAUGACUUGGCCACACGACUUGCAACGUCUCUAGCCCUAUCUAUGCAUAGCAUAUCAUGCAUGUGGUACAGGAGCCCGUUGGCCUUUGUGUAGUCGGUACUGCAUGGUGAAAAUUUACCCAACGAUUGAAUUUUUAUCUUGUGAGCUCGAGACAUUCAGAUAUCACUAGAAAACUGAAAGAUGGCCCUCCAUCCCCA